UACGGAGGGAGCAGGCGUUACUCGGAAUUAUUGGGCGUAAAGGGCGCGUAGGCGAUUUGAAAAGUCUUGUGUGAAAGCCCCGAGCUUAACUCGGGAAGUGCACAAGAAACUGUUGAAUUUGAGUUCCGGAGAGGAAGGCAGAAUUCCCGGUGUAGCGGUGAAAUGCGUAGAUAUCGGGAGGAAUACCAGUGGCGAAGGCGGCCUUCUGGACGGAUACUGACGCUGAGGCGCGAAAGCCAGGGGAGCAAACGGG
rnacentral:rRNA from 1 species